rnacentral:lncRNA from 1 species
CACAGGCACUUGUUUCUAUCCAUACGAAGGUCGACUAUCCAUAUAAAUAGAAGAAGGUGGCUAACGAAUGUCGCGACAGUCUCCGCUUCGGACGCUUUUUCUAUCGUUAUCGUAAUAAAAAAAAUACCUCUACCUUAUAUGAAUCGAUUCAGAAAUGAUUUUCCUUUAACACUAGACAUAUUUUAUAUUCCCCUCAAUGUUCCUCUUCUUACUAAUCUUACUAUUGUUCACUAAUCCGUGGAGAUUUUUGAACUACCAUCUUUUCAAUGUAUCUGCUUCCGG